rnacentral:rRNA from 1 species
AACGAACGCUGGCGGCAGGCCUAACACAUGCAAGUCGAGCGCCCCGCAAGGGGAGCGGCGGACGGGUGAGUAACGCGUGGGAACGUACCCUUUGCUACGGAAUAGCCUCGGGAAACUGGGAGUAAUACCGUAUGUGUCCUUCGGGAGAAAGAUUUAUCGGCAAGGGAUCGGCCCGCGUUGGAUUAGGUAGUUGGUGGGGUAAUGGCCUACCAAGCCGACGAUCCAUAGCUGGUUUGAGAGGAUGAUCAGCCACACUGGGACUGAGACACGGCCCAGACUCCUACGGGAGGCAGCAGUGGGGAAUCUUAGACAAUGGGCGCAAGCCUGAUCUAGCCAUGCCGCGUGAGCGAUGAAGGCCUUAGGGUUGUAAAGCUCUUUCAGGGGGGAAGAUAAUGACUGUACCCCCAGAAGAAGCCCCGGCUAACUCUGUG